rnacentral:tRNA from 1 species
UCCGGAGUGGUCCAACGGCAAGGAUGCGCGGCUUUGAACCGCGACGGUGGAGGUUCGAGUCCUUCCUCCGGAA